rnacentral:ncRNA from 1 species
AAAAAGGUGAGGAAAAGGAGCAGUAGAAGAGAGCGAUGACGUAUUAGAGAGCUGACCCAUAGGCUGAAAGGCCAGCCGUUAUCUCUCUUUGAAGAUCGCCUUGGAGCCUUGUUUUAGAAAUGGCUUUUUGCCAAAGUAUAAAACAACGGAUCUUCCGUUACGAAGAAAGUCAUCUAUGUGUGACUUGCUGAGUCUGUAUUCUGUGAGGAAUACAGAGAAGCUGGGUGGUACCGCGAAGCAUCUCGCCCCAGCA